UUUGCGGUGCUUCGGAGACGACCGUUAUUUGCAAUUUAGCCGACGGAGAGGGAGGUGGUACGGCCGAGCACUCCAGGCAAGGUGGUGGCAUCCCAUGGCGGGGGAACCCCAAGCCGCUGGCGUCACAAAACAGCAUCCCUUGAGGAUGAAGCCCGACGCCGAACCUCUACGGAAACGACCAUGAGGGCGUGGUGGCCGAGCUGUCGCUAACAAGACUUGGUGAAACAGGGAGAGGGGCCGCAGUACUUCGUUCCUGUCUGCACGCUGUCCAUACAUGAAUGCCGCGACUGUGUUUUUUCCUGAAAGACAUUACUACUGGAAUUCGAUGGACAAGAUGGCUUAUUCCACCGUCGUGUGGCACCCCUCCACCCAGGCCCGGCAGUCUGCUGGUUGGAGAGCUACAAAGCCUGAUCGGGACCACGCUGUUUUGAAGGUCACGACACCUGGCGGGGCUUGCAGAGCAGCAGGACUGAAAGCAGCAAUGGCAAAAGCUCUUAAAUGAUCCACGUUUACGGUCUACAAGUAUAAUAUAAAAUAUCUUAAAAGGACCACUUAUCUCGUUGAUUUAAGGAAAAAUGCUUCUCCGGAGCCUCGAUGGACUAGACGCACAGUCUUUUAGAGUUUAGACCUGCUUUCGGCUUACACGAGCCACGUUUUUAGCAAAUUUAGUGACAAUUCUGCUGUUCUGUACCCCAUUAAACUGGUUUGUAAAUGGAAUAAUAAAUGCAAUAGGUA